rnacentral:rRNA from 1 species
GACGAACGCUGGCGGCGUGCCUAAUACAUGCAAGUCGAACGCAGUGGGGGCGGGGGAGUAACACGUGGGUAACCUCCCAUCAGAGGGGAUAACACUUGGACACAGGUGCUAAACCGCUACUGGUGGAUGGACCCGCGGUGCAUUAGCUAUGUGGUGAGGUAACGGCUCACCAAGGCCACGAUGCAUAGCCGACCGGAGAUGGUGACCGGCCACACUGGGACUGAGACACGGCCCAGACUCCUACGGGAGGCAGCAGUAGGGAAUCUUCGGCAAUGGACGCAAGUCUGACCGAGCAACGCCGCGUGAGUGAAGAAGGUUUGCGGAUCGUAAAACUCUGUUGUUAGAGAAGCGGUAUCUAACCAGAAAGCCACGGCUAACUACGUGCCAGCAGCCGCGGUAAUUC